ACUACUGCAAGGGAUUCUGGGUAGGCGUAUGCAAACAAGCUCAACAAAGAACCUUUGUUGAGCUCAUUUGCAUACGCCUACCCAGAAUCCUU